rnacentral:misc_RNA from 1 species
GAUGAAGAACGUAGCGAAAUGCGAUAAGUAAUGUGAAUUGCAGAAUUCAGUGAAUCAUCGAAUCUUUGAACGCACAUUGCGCCCCUCGGUAUUCCGUGGGGCAUGCCUGUUCGAGCGUCAUUUACCCCUCAAGCACUGCUUGGUGUUGGGCGUCUGUCCCGCUUCGCGCGCGGACUCGCCCCAAAGGUAUUGGCAGCGGUCGUGCCAGCUUCUCGCGCAGCACAUUGCGCUUCUCGAGGCGGUCGAUCGGCGUCCACGAAGCUCACCUCCACCGUUUGACCUCGGAUCAGGUAGGGAUACCCGCUGAACUUAAGCAUAUCAAAAGCGGAGGA